rnacentral:rRNA from 1 species
GGGUUGUGAGGUUAAGCGACUAAGCGUACACGGUGGAUGCCCUGGCAGUCAGAGGCGAUGAAGGACGUGCUAAUCUGCGAUAAGCGUCGGUAAGGUGAUAUGAACCGUUAUAACCGGCGAUUUCCGAAUGGGGAAACCCAGUGUGUUUCGACACACUAUCAUUAACUGAAUCCAUAGGUUAAUGAGGCGAACCGGGGGAACUGAAACAUCUAAGUACCCCGAGGAAAAGAAAUCAACCGAGAUUCCCCCAGUAGCGGCGAGCGAACGGGGAGCAGCCCAGAGCCUGAAUCAGUGUGUGUGUUAGUGGAAGCGUCUGGAAAGGCGCGCGAUACAGGGUGACAGCCCCGUACACAAAAAUGCACAUACUGUGAGCUCGAUGAGUAGGGCGGGACACGUGGUAUCCUGUCUGAAUAUGGGGGGACCAUCCUCCAAGGCUAAAUACUCCUGACUGACCGAUAGUGAACCAGUACCGUGAGGGAAAGGCGAAAAGAACCCCGGCGAGGGGAGUGAAAAAGAACCUGAAACCGUGUACGUACAAGCAGUGGGAGCACGCUUAGGCGUGUGACUGCGUACCUUUUGUAUAAUGGGUCAGCGACUUAUAUUCUGUAGCAAGGUUAACCGAAUAGGGGAGCCGAAGGGAAACCGAGUCUUAACUGGGCGUUAAGUUGCAGGGUAUAGACCCGAAACCCGGUGAUCUAGCCAUGGGCAGGUUGAAGGUUGGGUAACACUAACUGGAGGACCGAACCGACUAAUGUUGAAAAAUUAGCGGAUGACUUGUGGCUGGGGGUGAAAGGCCAAUCAAACCGGGAGAUAGCUGGUUCUCCCCGAAAGCUAUUUAGGUAGCGCCUCGUGAAUUCAUCUCCGGGGGUAGAGCACUGUUUCGGCAAGGGGGUCAUCCCGACUUACCAACCCGAUGCAAACUGCGAAUACCGGAGAAUGUUAUCACGGGAGACACACGGCGGGUGCUAACGUCCGUCGUGAAGAGGGAAACAACCCAGACCGCCAGCUAAGGUCCCAAAGUCAUGGUUAAGUGGGAAACGAUGUGGGAAGGCCCAGACAGCCAGGAUGUUGGCUUAGAAGCAGCCAUCAUUUAAAGAAAGCGUAAUAGCUCACUGGUCGAGUCGGCCUGCGCGGAAGAUGUAACGGGGCUAAACCAUGCACCGAAGCUGCGGCAGCGACGCUUAUGCGUUGUUGGGUAGGGGAGCGUUCUGUAAGCCUGUGAAGGUGUACUGUGAGGUAUGCUGGAGGUAUCAGAAGUGCGAAUGCUGACAUAAGUAACGAUAAAGCGGGUGAAAAGCCCGCUCGCCGGAAGACCAAGGGUUCCUGUCCAACGUUAAUCGGGGCAGGGUGAGUCGACCCCUAAGGCGAGGCCGAAAGGCGUAGUCGAUGGGAAACAGGUUAAUAUUCCUGUACUUGGUGUUACUGCGAAGGGGGGACGGAGAAGGCUAUGUUGGCCGGGCGACGGUUGUCCCGGUUUAAGCGUGUAGGCUGGUUUUCCAGGCAAAUCCGGAAAAUCAAGGCUGAGGCGUGAUGACGAGGCACUACGGUGCUGAAGCAACAAAUGCCCUGCUUCCAGGAAAAGCCUCUAAGCAUCAGGUAACAUCAAAUCGUACCCCAAACCGACACAGGUGGUCAGGUAGAGAAUACCAAGGCGCUUGAGAGAACUCGGGUGAAGGAACUAGGCAAAAUGGUGCCGUAACUUCGGGAGAAGGCACGCUGAUAUGUAGGUGAAGUCCCUCGCGGAUGGAGCUGAAAUCAGUCGAAGAUACCAGCUGGCUGCAACUGUUUAUUAAAAACACAGCACUGUGCAAACACGAAAGUGGACGUAUACGGUGUGACGCCUGCCCGGUGCCGGAAGGUUAAUUGAUGGGGUUAGCGCAAGCGAAGCUCUUGAUCGAAGCCCCGGUAAACGGCGGCCGUAACUAUAACGGUCCUAAGGUAGCGAAAUUCCUUGUCGGGUAAGUUCCGACCUGCACGAAUGGCGUAAUGAUGGCCAGGCUGUCUCCACCCGAGACUCAGUGAAAUUGAACUCGCUGUGAAGAUGCAGUGUACCCGCGGCAAGACGGAAAGACCCCGUGAACCUUUACUAUAGCUUGACACUGAACAUUGAGCCUUGAUGUGUAGGAUAGGUGGGAGGCUUUGAAGUGUGGACGCCAGUCUGCAUGGAGCCGACCUUGAAAUACCACCCUUUAAUGUUUGAUGUUCUAACGUUGACCCGUAAUCCGGGUUGCGGACAGUGUCUGGUGGGUAGUUUGACUGGGGCGGUCUCCUCCUAAAGAGUAACGGAGGAGCACGAAGGUUGGCUAAUCCUGGUCGGACAUCAGGAGGUUAGUGCAAUGGCAUAAGCCAGCUUGACUGCGAGCGUGACGGCGCGAGCAGGUGCGAAAGCAGGUCAUAGUGAUCCGGUGGUUCUGAAUGGAAGGGCCAUCGCUCAACGGAUAAAAGGUACUCCGGGGAUAACAGGCUGAUACCGCCCAAGAGUUCAUAUCGACGGCGGUGUUUGGCACCUCGAUGUCGGCUCAUCACAUCCUGGGGCUGAAGUAGGUCCCAAGGGUAUGGCUGUUCGCCAUUUAAAGUGGUACGCGAGCUGGGUUUAGAACGUCGUGAGACAGUUCGGUCCCUAUCUGCCGUGGGCGCUGGAGAAUUGAGGGGGGCUGCUCCUAGUACGAGAGGACCGGAGUGGACGCAUCACUGGUGUUCGGGUUGUCAUGCCAAUGGCACUGCCCGGUAGCUAAAUGCGGAAGAGAUAAGUGCUGAAAGCAUCUAAGCACGAAACUUGCCCCGAGAUGAGUUCUCCCUGACUCCUUGAGAGUCCUGAAGGAACGUUGAAGACGACGACGUUGAUAGGCCGGGUGUGUAAGCGCAGCGAUGCGUUGAGCUAACCGGUACUAAUGAACCGUGAGGCUUAACCUUACAACGCCGAAG